GACGAACGCUGGCGGCGUGCCUAAUACAUGCAAGUAGAACGCUGAAGGAGGAGCUUGCUUCUCUGGAUGAGUUGCGAACGGGUGAGUAACGCGUAGGUAACCUGCCUGGUAGCGGGGGAUAACUAUUGGAAACGAUAGCUAAUACCGCAUAAUAGCAGUUAUUGCAUGAUAACUGUUUGAAAGGUGCAAUUGCACCACUACCAGAUGGACCUGCGUUGUAUUAGCUAGUUGGUGGGGUAACGGCUCACCAAGGCGACGAUACAUAGCCGACCUGAGAGGGUGAUCGGCCACACUGGGACUGAGACACGGCCCAGACUCCUACGGGAGGCAGCAGUAGGGAAUCUUCGGCAAUGGACGGAAGUCUGACCGAGCAACGCCGCGUGAGUGAAGAAGGGUGUCGGAUCGUAAAGCUCUGUUGUAAGAGAAGAACGAGUGUGAGAGUGGAAAGUUCACACUGUGACGGUAUCUUACCAGAAAGGGACGGCUAACUACGUG
rnacentral:rRNA from 1 species